rnacentral:ncRNA from 1 species
UAAAAAUUACCACCGGGUAAGAAUGCACAAGCAUUCAUACACACAUCGUUAGGUCAUGGAAGAUGUGUGUAUGGGUGCUUAUUUUUU